CCUACGGGAGGCAGCAGUGGGGGAUAUUGCACAAUGGGGGAAACCCUGAUGCAGCGACGCCGCGUGAGUGAUGAAGUAUUUCGGUAUGUAAAGCUCUAUUAGCAGGGAAGAAAAUGACAGUACCUGACCAAGCAGCCCCGGCUAACGCCGUGCCAGCAGCCGCGGUAAUACGUAGGGGGCAAGCGUUAGCCGGAUUUACUGGGUGUAAAGGGAGCGUAGACGGUUAUGUAAGUCUGGAGUGAAAGCCCGGGGCCCAACCCCGGGACGGCUUUGGAAACUGUGAAACUGGAGUGCAGGAGGGGCAGGCGGAAUUCCUGGUGUAGCGGUGAAAUGCGUAGAGAUCAGGAGGAACACCAGCGGCGAAGGCGGCCUGCUGGACUGAAACUGACGUUGAGGCUCGAAAGCGUGGGGAGCAAACAGGAUUAGAUACCCUAGUAGUC
rnacentral:rRNA from 1 species